rnacentral:rRNA from 1 species
UACGAAGGGGGCUAGCGUUGCUCGGAAUGACUGGGCGUAAAGGGCGCGUAGGCGGACUGCUUUGUCGGGCGUGAAAUUCCAGGGCUCAACCUUGGGGCUGCGUUCGAGACGGGUAUUCUAGAGUGGGGAAGAGGGUCGUGGAAUUCCCAGUGUAGAGGUGAAAUUCGUAGAUAUUGGGAAGAACACCGGUGGCGAAGGCGGGUCUCUGGGCCGAUACUGACGCUGAGGAGCGAAAGCGUGGGGAGCGAACAGG